rnacentral:rRNA from 1 species
UUAGCCUACGGGGGGCAGCAGUGAGGAAUAUUGGUCAAUGGGAGGAAUCCUGAACCAGCCAUGCCGCGUGCAGGACGACGGCUCUACGAGUUGUAAACUGCUUUUGUACCGGGGUAAAAUGCCUUACGAGUAGGGUUUUGAAAGUACGGUACGAAUAAGGAUCGGCUAACUCCGUGCCAGCAGCCGCGGUAAUACGGAGGGUGCGAGCGUUAAUCGGAAUUACUGGGCGUAAAGCGCUCGUAGGCGGUAUGUCAAGUCAAGGGUGAAAUCCCCGCGCUCAACGUGGGAACUGCCUUUGAAACUGG